rnacentral:tRNA from 1 species
ACCUGGGUGGCUCAGUCAGUAGAGCGUCUGACUUCGGCUCAGGUCAUGAUCCCACAGUUUGUGGGUUUGAGCCCCGCAUCAGGCU